GCAAGUCGAGCGAUGAAACACCUUCGGGUGUGAAUUAGCGGCGAACGGGUGAAGGAACACGUGAAGAAUCUGCCUUCAACUCUGGGAUAACUCCGGGAAAACCGGGGCUAAUACCGGAUAUGAGCCUUGAUCGCAUGAUCGGGGCUGGAAAGUUUUUCGGUUGAAGAUGACUUCGCGGCCUAUCAGCUUGUUGGUGAGGUAAUGGCUCACCAAGGCGACGACGGGUAGCCGGCCUGAGAGGGCGACCGGCCACACUGGGACUGAGACACGGCCCAGACUCCUACGGGAGGCAGCAGUGGGGAAUAUUGGGCAAUGGAGGAAACUCUGACCCAGCGACGCCGCGUGAGGGAUGAAGGCCUUCGGGUUGUAAACCUCUUUCAGUAGGGAAGAAAGCGAAAGUGACGGUACCUACAGAAGAAGCACCGGCUAACUAUGUGCCAGCAGCCGCGGUAAUACAUAGGGUGCAAGCGUUGUCCGGAAUUAUUGGGCGUAAAGAGCUCGUAGGUGGUUCGAUACGUCGGAAUGUGAAAAUCAGGGGCUCAACCCCUGACCUGCAUCCGAUACGGUCGAGCUAGAGUUUGGUAGGGGAGACUGGAAUUCCUGGUGUAGCGGUGGAAUGCGCAGAUAUCAGGAGGAACACCGAUGGCGAAGGCAGGUCUCUGGGCCAAUACUGACACUGAGGAGCGAAAGCGUGGGGAGCGAACAGGAUUAGAUACCCUGGUAGUCCACGCCGUAAACGGUGGGCGCUAGUUGUGCGAACCUUCCACGGUUUGUGCGACGCAGCUAACGCAUUAAGCGCCCC
rnacentral:rRNA from 1 species